rnacentral:rRNA from 1 species
AUGUACAUUCCUACAACAUAGAAUUAAUGUAGUGGAUCCCAUUAGAACUUCACAGUUGAGCGCUCUUAGGAUAGAGUAGUAUCGGGAUGGGUGACCGCCUAGGAAGUCCUAGUGUUUUACAUG